rnacentral:snoRNA from 1 species
GGGCUGAAGACUGCGGUUUUUUUUAAUCAGUGGUUUACAUAGCCAGACACCAGGCAGAAAAGAAAAGAGUGGUCUUCCCUUUAAAGUGGUUAUAAUCAUGUGCUAAGUUUUUUUUUCCCCCCCCAUAACAUAUCAUUAUUCAAGGGAAAUACAAAG